rnacentral:rRNA from 1 species
ACUCCUACGGGAGGCAGCAGUAGGGAAUCUUCCGCAAUGGACGAAAGUCUGACGGAGCAACGCCGCGUGAGUGACGAAGGUUUUCGGAUCGUAAAACUCUGUUGUGAGGGAAGAACAAGUGCCACGUAACUACUGGCACCUUGACGGUACCUCACCAGAAAGCCACGGCUAACUACGUGCCAGCAGCCGCGGUAAUACGUAGGUGGCAAGCGUUGUCCGGAAUUAUUGGGCGUAAAGCGCGCGCAGGCGGUCCUUUAAGUCUGAUGUGAAAGCCCACGGCUCAACCGUGGAGGGUCAUUGGAAACUGGAGGACUUGAGUGCAGAAGAGGAAAGUGGAAUUCCAUGUGUAGCGGUGAAAUGCGUAGAGAUGUGGAGGAACACCAGUGGCGAAGGCGACUUUCUGGUCUGUAACUGACGCUGAGGCGCGAAAGCGUGGGGAGCAAACAGGAUUAGAUACCCUGGUAGUCCACGCCGUAAACGAUGAGUGCUAAGUGUUAGGGGGUUUCCGCCCCUUAGUGCUGCAGCUAACGCAUUAAGCACUCCGCCUGGGGAGUACGGCCGCAAGGCUGAAACUCAAAGGAAUUGACGGGGGCCCGCACAAGCG